rnacentral:rRNA from 1 species
UAGGGAAUCUUCCGCAAUGGGCGAAAGCCUGACGGAGCAACGCCGCGUGAGUGAUGAAGGUCUUCGGAACGUAAAACUCUGUUAUUAGGGAAGAACAAAUGUGUAAGUAACUAUGCACGUCUUGACGGUACCUAAUCAGAAAGCCACGGCUAACUACGUGCCAGCAGCCGCGGUAAUACGUAGGUGGCAAGCGUUAUCCGGAAUUAUUGGGCGUAAAGCGCGCGUAGGCGGUUUUUUAAGUCUGAUGUGAAAGCCCACGGCUCAACCGUGGAGGGUCAUUGGAAAAUGGAAAACUUGAGUGCAGAAGAGGAAAGUGGAAUUCCAUGUGUAGCGGUGAAAUGCGCAGAGAUAUGGAGGAACACCAGUGGCGAAGGCGACUUUCUGGUCUGUAACUGACGCUGAUGUGCGAAAGCGUGGGGAUCAAACAGG